GACGAACCGUGCGAACGUUAUUCGGAAUCACUGGGCUUAAAGCGCGUGUAGGCGGGAGGGAACGUCGGCCGCUGAAAUCCCCCGGCUUAACCGGGGAAGGGGCGCCGAUACGGCCUUCCUGGAGGGACGUGAGGGGAGCUGGAACUUCCGGUGGAGCGGUGAAAUGCGUUGAGAUCGGAAGGAACGCCCGCGGCGAAAGCGAGCUCCUGGACGUCUGCUGACACUGAGACGCGAAAGCCAGGGGAGCGAACGGG
rnacentral:rRNA from 1 species